rnacentral:rRNA from 1 species
GAUGAACGCUGGCGGCGUGCCUAAUACAUGCAAGUCGAGCGAACAGACGAGGAGCUUGCUCCUCUGACGUUAGCGGCGGACGGGUGAGUAACACGUGGAUAACCUACCUAUAAUACUGGGAUAACUUCGGGAAACAGGAGCUACUACCGGCUAAUAUAUUGAACCGCAUGGUUCAAUAGUGAAAGACGGUUUUGCUGUCACUUAUAGACGGAUCCGUGCCGCAUUAGCUAGUUGGUAAGGUAACGGCUUACCAAGGCAACGAUGCGUAGCCGACCUGAGAGGGUGAUCAGCCACACUGGAACUGAGACACGGUCCAGACUCCUACGGGAGGCAGCAGUAGGGAAUCUUCCGCAAUGGGCGAAAGCCUGACGGAGCAACGCCGCGUGAGUGAUGAAGGUCUUCGGAUCGUAAAACUCUGUUAUUAGGGAAGAAAAAAUGUGGAAGUAACUAUGCACGUCUUGACGGUACCUAAUCAGAAAGCCACGGCUAACUACGUG